UACGGGGGGGGCAAGCGUUGUUCGGAAUUACUGGGCGUAAAGGGCUCGUAGGCGGCCAACUAAGUCGGACGUGAAAUCCCUCGGCUUAACCGGGGAACUGCGUCCGAUACUGGAUGGCUUGAGUUCGGGAGAGGGAUGCGGAAUUCCAGGUGUAGCGGUGAAAUGCGCAGAUAUCAGGAAGAACACCCGUGGCGAAGGCGGUUCUCUGGAACGCAACUGACGCUGAGACGCGAAAGCGUGGGGAGCAAACAGG
rnacentral:rRNA from 1 species